rnacentral:tRNA from 1 species
GGCGGAUGUAGCCAAGUGGAUCAAGGCAGUGGNUUUUGUGAAUCC